GUCUUGUCUCAGUUCACUGCCCGAAAAGAGGUAAAUUCUUUCUUAGCUUUGGUUAACUCGUGGUUUUUCUAUGUGUUCUGUUUAUGUGUUAUUAAGUUUUUGUUAUGUUAAGUCUCUAUAGGUUAGAAUAUGGUUGACGAGUAUUAUCUAGCAAUUUUCCUUUAUUUCUUAUGUUAGUAUUUUACUGUUAUAGUCAUAAAUCAGCUUAGCUUAUUUGAUUAUAGUCUUGUUACUCAUCUGAAUCAUCCAUAAAUGUUCAUCUCGAGUUUAGUCAUCAUAUUUGUUCAAUAAUAGGCGUCGAAAUUCAUGUUAAUGCUUCUGAGAAAAUGUAAAUGUAUUAAUCCAUGUUCUCUGUUAAGAGCUACUGCUCUCAGAGCCUUUUCUUUUUCAGUGUUUUUCUUUAUCGAUGGUUCUUUGCUCUCGCUUCUUCGUAGUCAAAUGUUUGUCGGAGUUCUAAUUCGCUAAUAACUUUUUUUUUAUACGGUUUCGAGUCCAUUUCAGCAUCUACUGUUUUGAAAUAAGCUCUAAAUCUAUGAAUUUUCUUAGUGUUAAUCUUGUUUUGGAUUGCCGCAUAUGCCCUCGUAACUUGUUACUUUCUUAAGUUCGUGGGCUGUUCAAAGUUCUUUUUUUUCGGAUCUGUUUGAGCUUCAUCCCCUUGUUAUGCUCGUUUAGUUUAAGUUGUUCUCAUCUAGGUUGGAUCACUGUGUCUUUGCAUAAGCAUAAAGGAAUUUGUUUAGUUUGAACUUAAGGAGUUGCGUAGAUUCUUAUCAUCUUUAGCUCCUAGUUUCAUUUGUCAUUGUUGUAUUGUUGUCCCUAACAUUUGUUUCGCCAUAAUGGAGUAUUGUUUUGAUCCUAAAAAAGGGAAAUAGUUAUUGGUUUGCCUCUUCAUUGAUAUUUUUUAAAAGGCGGUUUCCAACCAGCUUGCAACUUCUUAUGCCUUCGUUUACUUCAUGUUUCAUUCGUUUGUUUUCUUGAUUAAAUGUAAACUAUACUGUUAGUUCUCCACUGUCCUGCUUGUUGUUAAAGAAUUAGAAAUGGUUUCAUAUUGGUUUGGCUCCAAUCCAUAAACAUAUAAGCUGCCCAGGUCAAUUUCGCCACUGUUUUGGGUGUUAAUGUUAUCAUAAAUAGGUCGCAUAUGUGUCUAUCUUGAUUCAGUGAUCAGGUCUUUGAUAUUGUUGACGUGUAGUUGUCCAGAUGACUUGCGUAUGCAUUAAAUCUAUGUGAAAAUGAUUGAAUAUCCUUAUAUUUCAUUACAAUAUGAUUAUGUUCUCUUGUUAAGUUGUUCAUCCAGAUUGGUAGUUUAUUCAAAUUUGUAAUCACUUGAGUUAUCUUCUGUAGCAUUAAGUCAUUUUUUAUAUAUAUUUUUUUACAACUAUUUCAACUUUAAGCUUCUUUUGGCAUUAAUCUAAUCAGCUUUGAGUUAAAAAAAUGAUGUAUAAUUUGGAUGUGAAAGCAUAUUGAUGAUAUCUUUUUGUAUCUAGUGGUUACAUGUAUGAGCAUUCCGUUGAACUAUUCGUAAAAGUUGUUGUUUGAAUUCCGCAUAUGCUAGCAUGAGAAUUAGAUUUCUUUGUUUCUUAUUUUUUUUUAUAGCUUGUUCUUAGUUAAUUUUAGUUCAGACGAGUUGAUCCGAAUAAGAGUUGCUUUCUUUAUAUGUAUUCAAUUGUUUAAAUAUGUUGGUGUUGGUGGCUGAAAUUUUUUUGUUAGUAAUAUUUUGCCUCCAAAUCAAUUCUCGUUUUUAGUCCAGGAUAUGUGCAUGAUCGUGAUAUUAGCACUUGCUACAAAUGUUGUUGAAUUCAAGGUGCUGUAUAUAUGCUACCUAAUAGAUAUGCAACCUUGAUUAUUUUUUUUCCAGCUCUUUGUUUAUAUUAGAGUUAUAUGUCUAAUUGGAAAUUUUUUGCCUUGCCUCGGUUCAUAUGAGUCAUGUUUAUUUUGUUACAAUAUGGUGAUAGGCUUGAAUAGAUGUUAAUUCAUUUGUCCUCAUAUACGUUAAAAGUUCCUUUCCUUUAUUUGGUGGAGUCUUAAAUAUUUUGUAUGCAUGGGUCUCCAUACACAUGUCCAGCAUCUGUGUUUGUUUCUACCUUGACAAAUGCUUGACUCGUUACUUGUAGACGUUUAAAUUUAAUAUAUUAAUUCAUUUUGUUGUAGCUCAUUAGAUGCUUUUGAUAAUGUGUCUCUUAUCAUUAGCUAUGAACAAUUUUGAUUUGUUUAAAUUAUCAUUCUAAUCCUUAUUGUUCAUUUCCUUGCAUGAAUCUCUUUGUACCGAGUCUGAUUUGGGACUCCCCUUUCCUCCUCGCAUCGUCUUGUUGGAUCAAAUCCAACAGUUUUCCUCGAGUCAGCCCCCCUCCCCAUUUCAAAUCGUGGAGUAACGAAACAGGUUGAAGGCAGCAAAUAGGGCAAGAAAUUGAAACUUAAGUGCCCGAAAAGUCCAGAACAGGCUGAAUGUUCCUAUAUACGGCAGUAUAUACUAGUAUACACAGUGAAAUAUUGAUAUACCGGUCAAAAAAUGUGAAAAUACAGAGCUGAGGCG
rnacentral:lncRNA from 1 species